UACGUAGGGUGCGAGCGUUGUUCGGAUUUACUGGGCGUAAAGGGCGCGUAGGCGGCCUCUGCAAGUCGACUGCGAAAUCUCCGGGCUUAACCCGGAAAGGUCAGCCGAUACUGCAGGGCUAGAGUGCAGAAGGGGCAACUGGAAUUCUCGGUGUAGCGGUGAAAUUCGUAGAUAUCGGGAGGAACACCGGUGGCGAAGGCGGCGACCUGGGUCGAGACUGACGCUGAGGUGCGAAAGCGUGGGGAGCAAACAGG
rnacentral:rRNA from 1 species